CUUUAGGAGGACCCCACCCUCAGAAAAGACAGCGGAUCUUCUUCCAAAAACAAGUGUCACUGAGCGUGUUUUCAAAGACAGAUUCGUGGUAAAGGUUAAAAGAGAAUGUCGGAACCACAAGAGAAGGUUGACAUAAGUGCCCUCAAAGACACAUUCCUGGAAUGCCCCGUGUGUGUGGAACAUUUCAACCAGACAGACCGCCGUCCUCGUCUCCUCCACUCCUGCCUCCAUGCCUUCUGCACACAGUGUCUUCAGCAGCUUCUUGACAAGGAGGGGAAAGGUCAGAUCACAUGUCCGCUAUGUCGUCAAGUCCACAAGAUCCCAGGAGAGCCUGGCACUUUGCCCGUGGAUCCGGUCAGAGCAAAACUUGUAGAUUUUGUGCAGAUCAAAAACGAAGGAAAAGCUCCAUGCACAGACUGCCCCGCAGGAAGCCCAGCAGAGUCAAGGUGCCAGGAGUGUUCUGUAUAUCUGUGUAAGGAAUGCGCAUAUGUACACAGACGUCAUCGACUGACUCAUGACCAUCCCGUCAUAUCCCUGAGUGGAGUGCUAGAACAGCCUCUGAACACAUUCGCCCAGGGUCACUUCUGCACUCAUCAUCCAAAACACCAGCUGGAGUUCUUUUGUGCUAGUGAUGAAACGCUGUGUUGCCUUUCUUGCACAGUUGUGGAACAUAAGGGCCACGACUUCCAGAAACUAGAUGAAGCAGCUAAGAAACGACAAACGGAAUUGGAAGCAUCGAUGCUGGCCGUCAACGUAAAUGUCCAACAACUGCGUCAGAGGCGACUGUCUGAAGAAAGACGUCAAACUGCUAUCGCGGAGGCCCAGGCAAAGGCCAAAUCCGAUGUGAACACACACUUUACAAGACUGAUACGCAUAAUCAAUGAAAGAAAGUCACAUCUGGUCCGGGAUAUCGACGAAAGAAGUAGUACAAUGUUGUCUCUGUCUAAGAAAGAAGUAGAAGCGAUAGACCAAACUCUUGCUGUUGCGGAGUCAACUGAAACGUACUUCACUCAAGCCAAGGAGAAGGCUGGUGUUGUGGAAAUUCUUCAGAUGUAUCCUGCCAUCAAGAGAAGUUUGGAUGCAGCAGCCGAUGGGCAAGGUCGGUCGACAAACGGCACCGGAAGUUGUGAUGACAUUUACUCUCACAAAUGGAAAUAUUGUCGAAAAAUUGGGAUCAGAAGUAGGUUGCGUGAGCGAGUCUACUGAGACUCAGAAAGAAAAUGAUCAACUUCUACUGUCUUUAGAUGAAGUAUUUGAUGCUGCUUUGAAAUACAAAAGCAAGAAGAAACUUAUGAAACAUUGUGAAGAGAAGUCUUACUCCAAUGAAAGAGAAACGUGCGCUAUCUGUGAGAAUCAUAUCGAAGAUGCAAAGAGGAUACGGUGCGGGCACCGUUUCUGUAAGGGCUGCAUUGACCAGGUGCUCAGUAGGCAACCAAAUUGCCCUGUGUGUUGCAAAGUUCGAUAUCCGGUUUCAUCGUUUUCCGAACUUAGGCAGUUUGGCUUUGGUACGCCAGUCCCAAAGGAACCAGCUCCGAGGCAGUUUGGCUUUGGUACGCCAGUCCCAAAGGAACCAGCUCCGAUGCUGCCUCCAGGACGUCAUGGCAGAAGUAAAAAACUGUACAAGCACUGAACUUGUUUGCUCAAACACUCCUGUACAAUCUUAAUCAGAUAAAGUAUGUAUGAUUGGUGUAUAUAACUGUGACUACAGCUACUGACUGCUUCUCUCUGAGAAUUUUUGUACCACUUCUGAGUCCUUAGGAUCCAUAACCCGUAGACUUUUAGUCAGAUAAACUACAUCUGAUGGUGUUUACUAUUGGCUUACAGUUAUAUACUUACCUCCAUGUGCAAACACUAUGCCUUUUUGAAACUUUUCAGGUCAAUAUGUAUACACAUCUACAUUCGGAUAAAUCACACCAGAUAUGGUAGCCUAUUAGCUCAUA